rnacentral:ncRNA from 1 species
UCAAGAGCAACGACAAGGCGUUGGCAUCAAUUGGGCUCAAUAUCACACGGAAGAUGAAAGAACACCUGAGCUGGUUGACGUUUGAAAACACCAUCCGAAUUUAUAACUCAUUCACGAAGAACUGAGGUUUUUGUUUUCUUUUACCUUUUACCAUUUUUUAUUGUUACAUUGUUGUUAUUUGCUUUAAUCCUGCAUUUUACCGUCGGCAAUUCCAUCGUUAUUAUUACUGUUAUUGUUAUUAUUAUUACUAUUGUUAUUACUUUUACUUACUAUUGUUAUUACGAUUUAUUUCGUAUACUUACGUUAUUGUUACUACUACUUACUUUGCUCUCGCAAACGUUCGUUGUUGUUACUUUUGGACCAGGUUUAGAGAAAUCGCACGCACAGCGGAACUGGACCGCUUAAGCCAGAAACAGUAAAGUAACAAUAGCCAAAUGCCUCGUCAUCUAAUUAGUGACGCGUAUGAAUGGAUCAACAAGAUUCCUUCUGUCCCUAUCUACUAUCUAGCGAAACCACAGCCAAGGGAACGGGCUUGGCAAAAUCAGCGGGGAAAGAAGACCCUGUUGAGCUUGACUCUAGUCUGACUCUGUGAA